rnacentral:rRNA from 1 species
CCUACGGGAGGCAGCAGUGGGGAAUAUUGCACAAUGGGGGAAACCCUGAUGCAGCGACGCCGCGUGAGUGAAGAAGUAAUUCGUUAUGUAAAGCUCUAUCAGCAGGGAAGUAAAUGCCGGUACCUGAGUAAGAAGCCCCGGCUAACUACGUGCCAGCAGCCGCGGUAAGACGUAGGGGGCAAGCGUUAUCCGGAUUUACUGGGUGUAAAGGGAGCGUAGGCGGCAGUGCAAGUCUGGAGUGAAAGGCGGGGGCUCAACCCCCGGACUGCUCUGGAAACUGUACGGCUGGAGUGCAGGAGAGGUAAGUGGAAUUCCUGGUGUAGCGGUGAAAUGCGUAGAUAUUAGGAGGAACACCAGUGGCGAAGGCGGCUUACUGGACUGUAACUGACGUUGAGGCUCGAAAGCGUGGGGAGCAAACAGGAUUAGAUACCCCUGUAGUC